GACGAACGCUGGCGGCGUGCUUAACACAUGCAAGUCGAGCGCUGAAGCUCAGCUUUUGUUGGGUGGAUGAGUGGCGAACGGGUGAGUAACACGUGAGUAACCUGCCUCCUUCUUUGGGAUAACGCCCGGAAACGGGUGCUAAUACUGGAUAUUCACUGGUCUUCGCAUGGGGGUUGGUGGAAAGGGUUUUUCUGGUGGGGGAUGGGCUCGCGGCCUAUCAGCUUGUUGGUGGGGUGAUGGCCUACCAAGGCUUUGACGGGUAGCCGGCCUGAGAGGGUGACCGGUCACAUUGGGACUGAGAUACGGCCCAGACUCCUACGGGAGGCAGCAGUGGGGAAUAUUGCACAAUGGGCGCAAGCCUGAUGCAGCGACGCCGCGUGAGGGAUGGAGGCCUUCGGGUUGUGAACCUCUUUCGCUCAUGGUCAAGCCGCAACAAUGGUUGUGGUGAGGGUAGUGGGUAAAGAAGCGCCGGCUAACUACGUG
rnacentral:rRNA from 1 species